GGGUGAGUAAUGCCUAGGAAUCUGCCUGGUAGUGGGGGAUAACGUUCGGAAACGGACGCUAAUACCGCAUACGUCCUACGGGAGAAAGCAGGGGACCUUCGGGCCUUGCGCUAUCAGAUGAGCCUAGGUCGGAUUAGCUAGUUGGUGAGGUAAUGGCUCACCAAGGCGACGAUCCGUAACUGGUCUGAGAGGAUGAUCAGUCACACUGGAACUGAGACACGGUCCAGACUCCUACGGGAGGCAGCAGUGGGGAAUAUUGGACAAUGGGCGAAAGCCUGAUCCAGCCAUGCCGCGUGUGUGAAGAAGGUCUUCGGAUUGUAAAGCACUUUAAGUUGGGAGGAAGGGCAGUAAAUUAAUACUUUGCUGUUUUGACGUUACCGACAGAAUAAGCACCGGCUAACUCUGUGCCAGCAGCCGCGGUAAUACAGAGGGUGCAAGCGUUAAUCGGAAUUACUGGGCGUAAAGCGCGCGUAGGUGGUUUGUUAAGUUGGAUGUGAAAUCCCCGGGCUCAACCUGGGAACUGCAUUCAAAACUGACUGACUAGAGUAUGGUAG
rnacentral:rRNA from 1 species